rnacentral:rRNA from 1 species
UACGUAGGGGGCAAGCGUUGUCCGGAAUCAUUGGGCGUAAAGAGCGUGUAGGUGGCCCGGUCAGUCCGCCGUGAAAGUCCAGGGCUCAACCCUGGAAUGCCGGUGGAUACUGCCGGGCUGGAGUCCGGAAGAGGCGAGUGGAAUUCCUGGUGUAGCGGUGGAAUGCGCAGAUAUCAGGAGGAACACCAAUAGCGAAGGCAGCUCGCUGGGACGUUACUGACACUGAGGCGCGAAAGCGUGGGGAGCGAACAGG